UACGUAGGGUGCAAGCGUUGCCCGGAUUUAUUGGGCGUAAAGGGCGCGUAGGCGGCUCUGCACGUCCGUUGUGAAAUCGCCCGGCUCAACUGGGCGGGGUCAGCGGAUACGGCGGAGCUCGAGCAAGCUAGGGGGCAAUGGAAUUCCCGGUGUAGUGGUGGAAUGCGUAGAUAUCGGGAGGAACACCCGUAGCGAAGGCGGCACUCUGGGCCGGAACUGACGCUGAGGAGCGAAAGCGUGGGGAGCGAACAGG
rnacentral:rRNA from 1 species